rnacentral:rRNA from 1 species
AGUGGCGAACGGGUGAGUAACACGUGAGUAACCUGCCCUUGACUCUGGGAUAAGCGCUAGAAAUGGCGUCUAAUACCGGAUACGAGCUUCAGCCGCAUGGCUAGGAGUUGGAAAGAAUUUUGGUCAAGGAUGGACUCGCGGCCUAUCAGCUAGUUGGUGAGGUAAUGGCUCACCAAGGCGACGACGGGUAGCCGGCCUGAGAGGGUGACCGGCCACACUGGGACUGAGACACGGCCCAGACUCCUACGGGAGGCAGCAGUGGGGAAUAUUGCACAAUGGGCGAAAGCCUGAUGCAGCAACGCCGCGUGAGGGAUGACGGCCUUCGGGUUGUAAACCUCUUUUAGUAGGGAAGAAGCGAAAGUGACGGUACCUGCAGAAAAAGCACCGGCUAACUACGUGCCAGCAGCCGCGGUAAUACGUAGGGUGCAAGCGUUGUCCGGAAUUAUUGGGCGUAAAGAGCUCGUAGGCGGUUUGUCGCGUCUGCUGUGAAAUCUGGGGGCUCAACCCCCAGCCUGCAGUGGGUACGGGCAGACUAGAGUGCGGUAGGGGAGAUUGGAAUUCCUGGUGUAGCGGUGGAAUGCGCAGAUAUCAGGAGGAACACCGAUGGCGAAGGCAGAUCUCUGGGCCGUAACUGACGCUGAGGAGCGAAAGCAUGGGGAGCGAACAGGAUUAGAUACCCUGGUAGUCCAUGCCGUAAACGUUGGGAACUAGAUGUGGGGGCCAUUCCACGGUCUCCGUGUCGCAGCUAACGCAUUAAGUUCCCCGCCUGGGGAGUACGGCCGCAAGGCUAAAACUCAAAGGAAUUGACGGGGGCCCGCACAAGCGGCGGAGCAUGCGGAUUAAUUCGAUGCAACGCGAAGAACCUUACCAAGGCUUGACAUAUACCGGAAACGUCCAGAGAUGGUCGCCCCGCAAGGUCGGUAUACAGGUGGUGCAUGGUUGUCGUCAGCUCGUGUCGUGAGAUGUUGGGUUAAGUCCCGCAACGAGCGCAACCCUCGUUCUAUGUUGCCAGCACGUUAUGGUGGGAACUCAUAGGAGACUGCCGGGGUCAACUCGGAGGAAGGUGGGGAUGACGUCAAAUCAUCAUGCCCCUUAUGUCUUGGGCUUCACGCAUGCUACAAUGGCCGGUACAAAGGGCUGCGAUACCGUAAGGUGGAGCGAAUCCCAAAAAGCCGGUCUCAGUUCGGAUUGAGGUCUGCAACUCGACCUCAUGAAGUCGGAGUCGCUAGUAAUCGCAGAUCAGCAAC